UUGAGGAAUUCCCUGAAUGUGACGCAAAUCACUUCAAAGAGUGAGCAACAGUCAGUAUCAUCAUGUGAGUUAAACCCUCGCCGCCUGACGGUGAGGGUUUUCUUUUGGG
rfam:Escherichia coli str. K-12 substr. MG1655, complete genome.